rnacentral:rRNA from 1 species
GACGAACCGUGCGAACGUUGUUCGGAAUCAUUGGGCUUAAAGGGCGCGUAGGCGGGCUGGCCAGUCCGGGGUGAAAGCCCACGGCUCAACCGUGGAAGUGCCUUGGAUACUGCCGGUCUUGAGGGAGGUAGGGGCGUGCGGAACUUCCGGUGGAGCGGUGAAAUGCGUAGAUAUCGGAAGGAACACCGGUGGCGAAAGCGGCGCGCUGGACCUCUUCUGACGCUGAGGCGCGAAAGCCAGGGGAGCAAACGGG